GAAAGGCCCUUCUUGGAAUGGCUUGAAGGUGGACGGGAUCACGUUGUACACACCGGCAGGCACGUGUUCCAGCUCGAGAACUGUGAAGCGAGACUUGAACAUUCCGGAUCCUUUCCGAGCAAAGAAGUCGGAACAUGAUGGAUUGUUGACAGUGACAGUCACUAUAUCGAAGCCAAUUUGGUAUUGCUAUGUGCUUUUCAGGCUGAC
rnacentral:lncRNA from 1 species